GGGAAUGUGGCUUAGUGGUAGAGUGCUUGCCUCAAGUGCAUGAAGCCCUGGGUUUGAUUCCUCAUUUACA
rnacentral:tRNA from 1 species